AUCUCCUUAUUGUUUUCUUUCUGCCUUCUUAGAUUUGAUUCUGAAGUGGGUUUAGAUGGUAAUUAGUAGCACUCUAGAUGAUUUGAUUUCUUCGUUGGGUGGCGCGAGUGUAACUACGUCCAUGGUGAUUGAAUGUUAUGUUUUUGAGUAGUUUGGUCAAUGAUCCAACAAUUUGUCAUUACUCAUUAGUUAUGGGCUGUAAAUCAUCGCAAAUUUCUUAUAGGAUCGAAGAUUGCUGUUCAUCUGAAUAUAUUAAUUGCAUUCAUUAGAAAAUUGAACUCGAUCAAGAAAUUGAAAUGAGGAAAAACGAGUUGUUUGUUCUGAGAGUUUCCUUUGUUUAAUAUUUUCAAGUCUGAAUUCUACUAGUCACUUCAAUUGGGUGAUCCAAUACAUGAUCUGGAGCGGGUAUUAGGAUAAAGUUACAUAAAGAAUCUGGGAUUUUCUCCUGUGAAUCAUCGUUAUGAUUGUUCUUUUGAUAAACACCGGUUUCAUCGUCAAAAAGAAAGAAAUACUAGAAAAAACCACAAAAUUUCCUGGCAAAAAGCGCCGUUGUUUCCAUACAUUCCUGUUCUUGAAUACUCUGAGGUCUCUGAUGUUCCAGCUUAUAUUUGUCACAGAGGUCAUGAGGAGCCCUUAUAGAAGCCUUUCUAAAUAGGAUUUUUCUUGUAACUGAUACUUGAUGCUAAUUUUUCUAGUUUUCUCAUUUGACGCCCCUUUUUGUUUGCUGUCUUUUUGGAUCCCGAGAUAGGGAAAAGAAAUAAACCUGAUUCAUCAAGAAGGUUUUCUUUUUAAGGUGAUUCUUGGGGUCAGGGUCGGGGGUGAGGGAGGGAUUCAAAAAAGGUUUUGCUAGUAGUGGGAAGAUCUUAAAAGUCCUUCUAGGCUGUCCUUUGAGUAGUGAUUUGAGCAGUGAUUCUAGCAGCAGCAAAAAAAAAAAAAAAAAAAAAA